UGCUCACUUUUGUGUCUGCAGGUAUACAGACAAGUAGGCAUAAAAGACUUCACCCUCCCUACACCUCUGAUGAAUAUAACAGGAAACCUGUUCGAUCACCAUGCACUGCAAAAUCAUUCUGGCUAUGGAUACAGAGAACAUCAACACCCCAGAGGAUAUAUCCAUCAGACUUGGGGUUCUGCUGGGAGUUCACCUCAUAUUUUGAUUUUUUCAUUCUGCUUUGCCACUAAAAUCAUAAUAAACACUGAGAACUAAAA